rnacentral:lncRNA from 1 species
UCUGUUUAGUUUUGUACGUAGCAGAACUGUAGGCUGUCGUUCGUGGUUUGGUUGAAGUGUUUCUAUUAAUUGAAUAUGAACACUCACCACGCUGCGCUUUGGUCCCCUACUUCCACAGACGACGGCCGUUACAGGCUUCGCUCAGGAUCUGAUGCACUAAAAUAAGGAUCUCCCUCACUACACCCUCAGGAACUUCUCCUUUUUCUCUUGGAUACCAAACAGCCAUCAGGGCAUGGAUUCUACAAGGUACUGAAAGCGUUCCACAGGGUUGCUGGCCCAUGUUACCUCCAAAGCCUCCCACAGUUGUGUCAAGUUGGCUGGUACUGGAUCUCUACCCCGAAUGGCUCGGUCCAUCAACAUCCCACAGAUACUCAAUUGGAUUGAGAUCUGGUGACUGGGCAGGCCACAGCAAAGCCCACUUGCGCAGGAAGACAACACCCCACCUUGUGUCCGAAGAGGACACUAGUCUGCAAUAUGCUACAGCAACAUCUACCAGUGACCGAGCAAGUCUGCUUUAUACUACUGUGACAUUUACCGGUAACCAAGCUGGACCUGGGUGCACCAAGAUCAAGUUUGCAAUGACUGGAGACUACGCCCUCUUAGCAGAAUAAUAGAAUAAGAAAGACUGUCUUGAAGAAAAGUUUUUAGUUUUUCUCAUAGUUAACUUACGUGCCUUUCCUUCAACCUGGUGAUGCACUUACAAAAAAUAAUAAUAAUAUCACCCUGCUUGAUUUACAUAUCUUCUACUCUGUGGACACCAUGUCUUCCUGUAGUCUGUAAACAUCAGUUCCUCUCAGAUUAAUGGUAUUAUCUUACUGGGCUAUAAAUAGAUGUGCAGAGGUUUUAGGAUAAGAUUAAUUUCAACAUGUAUACUUGAUAAAUGUGUAAAUGAACAGCUUUCUUGAUUUAUAAGUCAAUAUGUCAUUUAAAAGUUGUGUGUGUAAAAUGAGAAAACCACAGAGAUAAAAAUAGUUUUUUUAUAUUGAUUCCGUUUCUCUGUAUUGCAGAACAUUCUUAAUAAACCACUUCACUAACUGUUAGAGGAAAGCAAUACAAAAGGACUCUUGAUUUGCAAGCUAACAUGGUGGUUCUGUUUGGAACUCAUUCUUCACCCAUGCAUUUUCACAUUUAUGUGCAAAGCUUUAACUAGAGG